rnacentral:rRNA from 1 species
CGCUGGCGGCGUGCUUAACACAUGCAAGUCGAACGGUGAAAGAGAGCUUGCUCUCUGGAUCAGUGGCGAACGGGUGAGUAACACGUGAGCAAUCUGCCCCUGACUCUGGGAUAACAGCUGGAAACAGCUGCUAAUACCGGAUACGAGCUGCGAAGGCAUCUUCAGCAGCUGGAAAGAACCUCGGUCAGGGAUGAGCUCGCGGCCUAUCAGCUAGUUGGUGAGGUAAUGGCUCACCAAGGCGUCGACGGGUAGCCGGCCUGAGAGGGUGACCGGCCACACUGGGACUGAGACACGGCCCAGACUCCUACGGGAGGCAGCAGUGGGGAAUAUUGCACAAUGGGCGCAAGCCUGAUGCAGCAACGCCGCGUGAGGGACGACGGCCUUCGGGUUGUAAACCUCUUUUAGCAAGGAAGAAGCGAAAGUGACGGUACUUGCAGAAAAAGCGCCGGCUAACUACGUGCCAGCAGCCGCGGUAAUACGUAGGGCGCAAGCGUUAUCCGGAAUUAUUGGGCGUAAAGAGCUCGUAGGCGGUUUGUCGCGUCUGCUGUGAAAACCCGAGGCUCAACCUCGGGCCUGCAGUGGGUACGGGCAGACUAGAGUGCGGUAGGGGAGAUUGGAAUUCCUGGUGUAGCGGUGGAAUGCGCAGAUAUCAGGAGGAACACCGAUGGCGAAGGCAGAUCUCUGGGCCGUAACUGAC